UACGAAGGGUGCAAGCGUUAAUCGGAAUUACUGGGCGUAAAGCGUGCGUAGGCGGUUUGUUAAGUCUGUUGUGAAAUCCCCGGGCUCAACCUGGGAAUGGCAAUGGAUACUGGCAAGCUAGAGUGUGUCAGAGGAUGGUGGAAUUCCCGGUGUAGCGGUGAAAUGCGUAGAGAUCGGGAGGAACACCAGUGGCGAAGGCGGCGACCUGGGCCAAUAUUGACGCUGAGGUGCGAAAGCGUGGGGAGCAAACAGG
rnacentral:rRNA from 1 species